CUGCCAUUGAUUGUUACACACAAGUAAGACAAUUUUUUUUAAUCAGAGUUUGUCUUCAUCAUCAUCUCCAUGCAAAGGCUAUAUCAUCAGAUCUGAGUGGAAUGAAAUAUACAGUUAUGAUGCAGGGUUAUAGAUUGGUGAUACGUGCUUCUGUACUUAGAAAUUGGAAUAAUAGAAUGACACAGUGAUUUCUGUCCUAGAGAGCAAGAAAAUAGGAAAUUACCCAUUGUGGUAGUGGGUAAGAUGGGGAAACACCAAUAUCUCUUUUGUAGCAUGUCCUUGACAAGAGGAGAAACACAAGUUACUCUUGAAAAAAUAUGGCUUUUUUAUGUUCAGGAAGAAUUAGUUGUGUUCUUAUCUGCAUUCAAAAAGCUCAAUUUGCUAAAGAAUAAAAUGUGAAGCUUUCUCCUGAUUAAUCAAUAAUGUAAUAUUCUUCUCUGGUUUAUGUAGUUC
rnacentral:misc_RNA from 1 species